rnacentral:rRNA from 1 species
CCUCAAAGAGGGGGACAACAGUUGGAAACGACUGCUAAUACCGCAUAAGCCCACGGCUCGGCAUCGAGCAGAGGGAAAAGGAGCAAUCCGCUUUGAGAUGGCCUCGCGUCCGAUUAGCUAGUUGGUGAGGUAACGGCCCACCAAGGCAACGAUCGGUAGCCGGACUGAGAGGUUGAACGGCCACAUUGGGACUGAGACACGGCCCAGACUCCUACGGGAGGCAGCAGUGGGGAAUAUUGCACAAUGGGGGAAACCCUGAUGCAGCGACGCCGCGUGAAGGAAGAAGGCCUUCGGGUUGUAAACUUCUUUUACCAGGGACGGAGGACGUGACGGUACCUGGAGAAAAAGCAACGGCUAACUACGUG